rnacentral:misc_RNA from 1 species
CCCCCACACACAUUACAUAUACCAAGAAGUCACCCACCACCAUCGAUUCUUUCUUUAUUUUUCCUUCCAUAAAAAAGGAUCAAAAUUCGUUUGAGCUCAUUACCUUCAUCAAAUCCUUUAGCUUAGAUGAUUCUGGUUUUAAAUUUCCAAUUCAUUCCAUAAAGGGAUGAUUAUCCAUAUUUCCCUGUUCCGCUAGAUAGAAAUAAGUAACUUUUGCAUGGGAAAAGAAUGCCAGAUUUGCAAGCUGGAGUUCGGCGAUCACAGAGGGUCAAACAAAACCAGAAUCCUUCUGGUUUAGUUCCAACUGCUCGGCGUGGUGCUGGAAGAGCAGGUCGAGGUAGAGGCUCUAGAGCAAUGAACCAAGAUGAGAAUGCAAAGCUUUUAGUUGGUGGAGUGCGUGGCAGGGGACGUGCAGGUCUGGACUUGCCAGCAAGACAGGCAGUUGAGAAAAGUGCAGAAAAAUUGGCUGCUGGAGAAGAGGAAGGAAGCACAAGUCCGCUUCCUGAGAGGGUACAAUUUGGGAACUCCCCUGUGUACAAGUUAGAGAGAAAGCUAGGGAAAGGGGGUUUUGGUCAAGUUUAUGUUGGAAGAAGGGUGUCUGGUGGUACAGGUCGUACUGGGCCUGAUGCUGUUGAGGUUGCUUUGAAAUUUGAGCACUGUAAUAGCAAAGGAUGCAGUUACGGCCCUCCUUAUGAGUGGCAAGUAUAUAGCACUCUCAAUGGUUGUUAUGGGCUACCAUUGGUUCAUUAUAAAGGUCAACAAAGCGACUACUAUAUCCUAGUCAUGGACAUGCUUGGACCUAGCCUUUGGGAUGUUUGGAACUCUAAUAAUCAAACGCUGUCUGAACAGAUGGUUGCUUGUAUAGCAGUGGAGGCAAUAUCAAUUCUAGAACAGCUCCACUUAAGAGGUUUUGUUCAUGGGGAUGUUAAGCCAGAGAACUUUUUGCUUGGCCAGCCUGGGACACCCAAUGAAAAGAAGUUGUAUCUAAUUGAUCUUGGUUUGGCUUCAAGAUGGCGGGAUGCAACUUCUGGUCGUCAUGUUGAUUAUGACCAAAAGCCUGAUGUUUUCAGGGGAACUGUUCGGUAUGCUAGUGUACAUGCUCAUUUGGGUAGGACGGGUAGCCGAAGGGAUGAUCUUGAGUCCCUAGCUUAUACCCUCAUAUUCCUCCUUAAGGGAAAGCUUCCUUGGCAAGGUUAUGUUGGAGAAAACAAAGGAUUCCUUGUUUGUAAAAAGAAGAUGGCAACUUCUCCUGAAAUGCUUUGUUUCUUGUGUCCUCCUCCUUUUCAACAAUUUCAUGACAUGGUGACCAACAUGAGAUUUGAUGAAGAACCCAAC